AUUGAACGCUGGCGGCAGGCCUAACACAUGCAAGUCGAACGAAAGGCGGACGGGUGAGUUCUGUCUGGGCAACUGCCCGAUGGAGGGGGAUAACUACUGGUAACGGUAGCUAAUACCGCAUACCAUCGGAUGUGCCCAGAUGGGAUUAGCUAGUAGGUGGGGUAAAGGCUCACCUAGGCGACGAUCCCUAGCUGGUCUGAGAGGAUGACCAGCCACACUGGAACUGAGACACGGUCCAGACUCCUACGGGAGGCAGCAGUGGGGAAUAUUGCACAAUGGGCGCAAGCCUGAUGCAGCCAUGCCGCGUGUAUGAAGAAGGCCUUCGGGUUGUAAAGUACUUUCAGCGGGGAGGCGUUACCCGCAGAAGAAGCACCGGCUAACUCCGUGCCAGCCGCCGCGGUAAUAC
rnacentral:rRNA from 1 species